rnacentral:rRNA from 1 species
CAGCCGCCACGGUAAUACGGAGGGUGCAAGCGUUAUCCGGAUUUAUUGGGUUUAAAGGGUCCGUAGGCGGACUUAUAAGUCAGUGGUGAAAGCCUGUCGCUUAACGAUAGAACUGCCAUUGAUACUGUAAGUCUUGAGUAUAUUUGAGGUAGCUGGAAUAAGUAGUGUAGCGGUGAAAUGCAUAGAUAUUACUUAGAACACCAAUUGCGAAGGCAGGUUACCAAGAUAUAACUGACGCUGAGGGACGAAAGCGUGGGUAGCGAACAGGAUUAGAUACCCCAGUAGUCCCUGUCUCUUAUAA